GGCUUUGGCUCAGUGGGAGGGUGUCUGCUUUGCAUGCUGAAGGUCCCAGGUUCAGUCCCUCACCCUGGCUUCUCCU